rnacentral:lncRNA from 1 species
AUUGCAAUAGCUGCAAAAAAUAAAUAAUAAGUUGCGUAAUCAAUGAGUGGUAAUGGUAAACCAACGAAUGAACCAGUGGAUCCACAAAACAAAACCACGAGCUGAUGAGCACAUCAUGAUGAGUCACUCUGUCUUUACACAAAAAUAAUAAAACCUUCAAUCAUUUAUCCGAUAGAUGCGAAUAAUAUUAAUACUGUAAUAAAAAAUGCCAAAAUAAAACCUAACCAAAGUUCGAAUCAGAGAUUUCCAGAUAAUUACUUCCGACAAUUCUAGUUCUUCCCUCUCUCUCUGUCUCUCUGUCC